rnacentral:tRNA from 1 species
GUUAACUUAGUGUAACCCAAAUCACGUCGGACUUUCAAACCGAAAAUACUGAACAUCAGUAGCUAACC